CUGCAUUAUAUACACACUACACAAACACACUGCAUUAUAUACAGUGUUUGUGUAGUGUGUAUAUAAUGCAGAGU